GGCUUUGUGCAGUGGCAGGAGAGUAGCUGGUGAGGGUUAACUGGUGUGUGAUUAUUGCUUCUUGAAAACUUUCCAAAUACCCUGCUUUGAUGGUUUGAAAUGAAAUCAUCAUUGGCAAUUUUUCGAUAGCAUCUGUGGAGACUGAUGU